rnacentral:lncRNA from 1 species
GUUGAACCACUAAAUGACUUAUCUAGUGUUGUUUGGGGUUAGAAUAAGUUAGAAUACAAUGAAUUUGAUUGAUUUCAAGUGCUAUAGAUGCAUGAAGAGUGUUUUGAAGUAUGGAGAAAGACUUGUUGAAAUUGGGUCUCAAAUGGGCUAAGAACUCGGAAACAUUGCGUUGAACCACUGAAUGACUUAUCUAGUGUUAUUUGGGGUUAGUAUAUGUUAGAAUACAAUAACUUUGAUUGAUUACAAGUGCUAGAGAUGCAUGAAGAGUUUUUAGAAGUGUGUAGAAUAACUUGUUGAAAUUGUUUCCCAAAUGGGCUAAGAACUCGGAAACACUGCGUUGAAUCACUAAAUGACUUAUCUAGUAUUGUUUGGGUUUAGAAUAUGUUAGAAUACAAUAAAUUUUAUUGAUUACAAGUGCUAGAGAUGCAUGAAGAGUGUUUAGAAGUGCGUAGAAAGACUUGUUGAAAUUUGGUCCGAAAUGGGCUAAGAAUCGAUAAACAUCUCUUUGGAGCAGUAAAUGGCUUGUCUAGUGAUGUUUAGGGUUAGAAUACGUUAGAAAAAAAUAAAUUUGAGAGAUUGCAAGUGCUAGAGAUGCAUGAAGAGUGUUUAGAAGUGUGAAGAAAGACUUUUUGAAAUUGGGUCCCAAAUGGGCUAAGAACUCGGAAACAUUGCGUUGAACCUCUAUAUGACUUAUCUAAUGUUGUAUGGGGUUAGUAUAUGUUAGAAUACAAUGAAUUUGGUUGAUUACAAGUGCUAGAGGUGCAUGAACAGUGUUUUGAAGUAUGGAGAAAGACUUGUUGAAAUUGGGUCCCAAAUGGGCUAAGAACUCGGAAACAUUGCGUUGAACCACUAAAUGACUUAUCUAGUGUUGUUUGGGGUUAAAAUAUGUUAGAAUACUAUAAAUUUGAUUGAUUACAAGUACUAAAGAUGCAUGAAGAGUGUUUAGUUGUGUUGAGAAAGACUUGUUGAAAUUGGGUCCCAAAUAGGCUACGAACUCGGAAACAUUGCGUUGAACCACUAAAUGACUUAUCUAGUGUUGUUUGGGGUUAGAAUAUGUUAGAAUACAAUAAAUUUNNN